CAGGGCCCCUCCAGCCCCAGAGGCCGGUCUGGUGGACAGAAAGGGCCGGAGGAGCUGGUGUCAGGCCUCCGGCUCCCACACAAAAGAAAGGGGCUUGAAGUUUUUGUCUGUGAGCACAAAAUGAAGCAGACAAAAAAACACAACAUCAACAAAGCCAGAAGGAUGUUCCAGAAAGAACCAAAAAAGGAACUACUGACGGAGUAACGGUGCGGGGGAUGAGAAGCUCGUUUCCCCGAAAACGCUGCGUGGGAGUGGAACCCGCUUGGGACACCUGCGCACCCUCUCUCGCCAGCAGGGCCACGGCCGCCAGCUCUACACAGCCGCUUCCCCUCCACCUAGAUGUGUGUCCCGGGUUUCGUUCGGUUGAUCGAUGGAGACAAGUGACCCCACGGUGAGAUUGUUGAAUGGCACUAGAAUGGACAUUUCAAAGGAUAACCUUGAAAAAUAAAGGAGCAAUGAAGUUCUUCUCCCCUCACUCAGUGGCCAGUCCGCACACCGUUCAGGGGUGUGAUCAACUUCAUCGAAAGGAAUCGUCCUCAUGAAAAAAGAGAGACUCAGUGAGACACAAUGGACACGCCACAGGGACGUGGAACACGUGGCCGCUGGGGUAGAUUACAAACAACGGAGGCGCAGACAGUGAGUCGGUUGGGCCGGGUGUUACCCAGACACGAGCCAGUAUCCCGUCACCGUUAUCAAUAGUGGGUGCAGCAGCCCAGCAGCCGGACCUCAAGACGUUUGCCUACACGGCAGGCAGGUCCUGCUCACAGGCAGAAACUUGACAGAGCAAGUGGCCUAGAAAUGUUUGCGUCUUGAAGGCCUCAGCCGUUGGGCCACGUGUUUAACAGCGUUGGCCCCGGAAGGUUCCACUUUCUUGCAUCGUGACGUUGGAUGGGCCUUAACGUGAGCCUUGGACAGUGCCUCUGUGGGCAGUGCCCUCCACGCCUCUGCUGUCUCACAUCCAUUUGCAGUGGCUGUCACCGGCUGUCAGCCCAGGCAGGCAGCACAUGGCAGGCCCGUUCAGAUAGGCUGCCGAGGGAGAAGCGGGUUGAGUUUGCACCCAGGCCUCAUGAACUCUCAGUCCUGCUGGGCUGGCCUUGUGCGACCCCGUGUGCACCUUUCUGU